rnacentral:rRNA from 1 species
UUCGCCCUUGGAUCCUGACUUUGAUUCUGGCUCAGGAUGAACGCUAGCUACAGGCUUAACACAUGCAAGUCGAGGGGAAACGACAUCGAAAGCUUGCUUUUGAUGGGCGUCGACCGGCGCACGGGUGAGUAACGCGUAUCCAACCUGCCCAUCACUUGGGGAUAACCUUGCGAAAGUAAGACUAAUACCCAAUGAUAUCUCUAGAAGACAUCUGAAAGAGAUUAAAGAUUUAUCGGUGAUGGAUGGGGAUGCGUCUGAUUAGCUUGUUGGCGGGGUAACGGCCCACCAAGGCAACGAUCAGUAGGGGUUCUGAGAGGAAGGUCCCCCACAUUGGAACUGAGACACGGUCCAAACUCCUACGGGAGGCAGCAGUGAGGAAUAUUGGUCAAUGGACGAGAGUCUGAACCAGCCAAGUAGCGUGCAGGAUGACGGCCCUAUGGGUUGUAAACUGCUUUUAUAAGGGAAUAAAGUGAGUCUCGUGAGACUUUUUGCAUGUACCUUAUGAAUAAGGACCGGCUAAUUCCGUGCCAGCAGCCGCGGUAAUACGGAAGGUCCGGGCGUUAUCCGGAUUUAUUGGGUUUAAAGGGAGCGUAGGCCGGAGAUUAAGCGUGUUGUGAAAUGUAGAUGCUCAACAUCUGAACUGCAGCGCGAACUGGUUUCCUUGAGUACGCACAAAGUGGGCGGAAUUCGUGGUGUAGCGGUGAAAUGCUUAGAUAUCACGAAGAACUCCGAUUGCGAAGGCAGCUCACUGGAGCGCAACUGACGCUGAAGCUCGAAAGUGCGGGUAUCGAACAGGAUUAGAUACCCUGGUAGUCCGCACGGUAAACGAUGGAUGCCCGCUGUUGGUCUGAAUAGGUCAGCGGCCAAGCGAAAGCAUUAAGCAUCCCACCUGGGGAGUACGCCGGCAACGGUGCAACUCAAAUGAAUUGACGG